rnacentral:rRNA from 1 species
CAGCAGCCACGGGAAUACGAAGGGUGCAAGCGUUAAUCGGAAUUACUGGGCGUAAAGCGUGCGUAGGCGGUUUGUUAAGUCUGUUGUGAAAUCCCCGGGCUCAACCUGGGAAUGGCAAUGGAUACUGGCAAGCUAGAGUGUGUCAGAGGAUGGUGGAAUUCCCGGUGUAGCGGUGAAAUGCGUAGAGAUCGGGAGGAACAUCAGUGGCGAAGGCGGCCAUCUGGGACAACACUGACGCUGAUGCACGAAAGCUAGGGGAGCAAACAGGAUUAGAUACCCCCGUAGUCCCUGUCUCUUAUAC